AUAGUGUGUUCUGUUCGACCAGAAGGUGCUCCAAGGAGCAAAACCCUAGUUCAUACAAAAAUGAUCAAAUUGAAGGUCUAUUUGAAGCUUAAAUUCACAAUUGAACAUGAAUUAAUAAUCAUCCAAGCUAGGGGAUCAUAAGGUAUGUAAAAUUUUGAUGAUUCUUGAAGUGUUUGACGCUUAACAAACUAGGUGGAAGCUUGGGAAGGAAGCAGGUCAAAGGAAUCAUGUAUGAAAGAAAAACAUAAUUUAGAUGCAAGGUAAGUAAAGCUUACACUCUUAAUAAUUUAUAGAAUAUUUCUUAUCGUAUUGAUUACGAAUAAGAAGAAUAAAUAAUUGAAUAUGAUGUUUCGACGUGUAGUCGUACGAAAUGAAAUAAAUGAAAAUAAUUAGAAACCAUGUUUAAUGGUUAAAAAAUGAAUAAUAUGAUGAUUCAGUCAUACAAUUACGAAUAGAUAUUGUGUUUGAUGUAACACUCCGAAAACGGGUUUGAUAAUCAAACCACGUUAAUACUAAAAGACGGGUAAAGUACCUUUAGUGGUAAAAUUAACCUGGUGAAUAUUAGGAUUUAAAUAAAUAAACCUAAUAUUAAAUAAAAGUUGAACGAAGGUUUUUGAGGAAAUAAAGUUUAUAAAAGGCCCAAGUUAACGAGACUUAAAAUAAACUUAGUAGUAAUUUCCCCGAACCCGCUAAGUUAACUAGGAAUGUUUAACCAAGUUAAUAAGAGGAAAUAUUGUUAGAAAUAAGUAGGUUGUGGUCUACUUAAUAACUAACCAAACAAUAGGGGCCAAAUUUGGAUAACUUGAAAGUUAAGUUAUAAAAAGAAAAGGUAAAACAAAACACACACUUGGUGUGUGUUCCCUGUUCGAUCUCAGGAAGCUCCUCAGGAGCCAAAACCCUAGUUUCAUCAAAACCCAUCAAAUUGAAGGCUUAAACGAAGCUCAAAUUCACAAUUGAACGUGAAUUAAUGAUCACCCAAGCUAGGGGAUCAUAAGGUAUGUAAAAUUUUGAUGAUUUUUGAAGUUGUGAAAUUUGAAGAAACAUUAUAAUCGCGAAUUAUGUAUGAAUUAUGGAAGCUAUGGCUGAAUUAAUGAUGUAUACUUGCUUAGGAACAAAACCCUAAGUGAAAAUCAUACAUAUGAUGUUAUGAAUUGAAUGUUUAGAUGAUUUACCACACUAGGAUAAGUGGGUUUUAAUCAAAUGAUGAAAUUGAUGAUAUAAUUAUGAUUAGAAUCAUCAUACUUGAUAGUAAUAAGAAGAUACUUGAACAAAUUGUGUGUUUGAGUACAUCAUCAUACUUGCUAUGAAAUGAGUUUUGUAUGAUAAAAUGAAAAUGAUGAUAUGUUCAUCCUAAAAUGAUGUUUGAUAUCAUCACGUAUUAGUUGAAUGAAUUACGACUACAAGAACUUGGUUAAUAAGUGGUUAAAACGGUAGCAUAGGAAUGAUGCUUACCGGGUAAUUGACAAAGUACUUAUACGAGUAGUUGAGCUACGUCGUGUAAUUACUUACGUUAAUAGGCAGUUGACUUUAAAAAGUCAAAAUGACCAUUGAUAUGAUCGAAUGAUAAUUUCGACAUAAAAAUCGUAGGAUGAAAUAGUCGUGAAUGAUUAUGACUAAUCUAACCAUCUUACGAAUUACAAUGAUAGUUUGACGCUUAACAAGCUAGGUGGAAGCUUGGGAAGGAAGCGGGUCAAACAAAUCGAGUAUGAAGGAAGAAGCAUAAUUUGGAAGCAAGGUAAGUAAAGCUUACACCUUUUAUUGAAUACUUAUUUGUUUUAUAGGUUAUGAAUAAUAUAAAGUCAUGUUUAAAUUAUGAUGUUCCGACGUGACAGGAUACUGGUCGGAAAAAGAGACAAUAAUAAUAAACCAUGCUUAACGGUUAAGAAGAAAUAAUACGAAUAUUCAGUCAUGUAAUGACUAAUAGACAAUGAGUUUUGAAUGGUUACCUUAUAGGGUAAACCAAAAUGAGUAAAUAAGGGUAAAAUGGUAAUUCGGUCACACGUUGACUAUAAAUGUUAGUUUGAAAGAUACCUUAUGGAUUAAGCCAUGAUAGGUCAAAAGAAUAAAGAAAUGAGUCAUAAGUAAUAUGACCGUAUGGUGUAAACCGGAAUGGGUUACCUAGAUGAGAUGAUAAAUAAUACCAUCUCACAAGGAUGAAAUGGUCAUUUAGACCAAACGGAUCAAAAGGUGAAGAUGUCACCAAUUGACGAUAACGACUAAUCAUUGUUGUCGAGUAUAAUGAUCACAGGAAUAAAUAGCGUGUGGAAAUCCAUUUGAUAAGUAAUGUGGAAAUAUUAUGCUAGCAAUGAAUGAGCGCAAUUUAAGCUUAAAAGUGCUUAAUUACUCUUAACGGGUCAAAAUAAGAUUAUAAGCAAAAACGGGUUAAGGAUAUGUAAAAACCCGUGAAUUGAAUCUUGUAUAAUAGGAAAUAAUUAUAAUAAUAUGUUCAUGAGAAAUUGAAUGCAACAAACAAGUUUGUUUGAUAAAAAUCAUGAACGGGUCAUUAUUUAGUAGAAAAAUAAUAAGCCAAUGGCUUAAAAAUCAAUAAUUUUAUUAAUAUGAAUGUCGGAUUUUAACUCCAUGUAAUGGAGAAUCAAAUUAUGAUCACGUAGGAAGAAACGUGACGUAAAACUGAUAAAAAAUGAGUGAGUUAUGUUCGUUUCCGUAAAGAUUAACUUGGCUGGGAAUGUGUAGGUUUGAAAACAAACCUUUCUGUCGAAAUAGGGCCCUCGCGUCACGCGACGGAGAACCCCAUUUGGCGUCACCAUUUACAUCAAAUCCCGUCACGGCACGCGACGAGUGUUAAACUCAGCAAAGGCUGCUAAAACUUAUAGUUGUUGUUCGUUUCGACUCGCGAACUUGUUUGGACAUGUUUUAACGCCAAAUGACUAUCUUAUUUCAUGUCUUUAUGAAGUGUAGGUAUACGAUACUGUAACAACCCGCGUUUUGAAGUCAAAGUACAAGUCAAAGUCAAAGUCAAAGGAAGAAAAGAUUGCUAAAUGCUAUCUGUCACUCUUUGCUUAAUUAUUGGUUGUACCCUUUGACUUAGUAACCGAUACUUUAAUUUAUGUGACUUUAGUUGUAUUAUGUGGAGUAAAUGAAAUAAUCGCAGUUUA
rnacentral:lncRNA from 1 species